UUUAUAAAGUCACCCUUGUCAAACCAUGGAUAUGGUAAGACUAUAUAUUCUGCAACAAGUUGAGUUUUAUCCGAACAGUUGACUGGGGAUAUGUUUUUACUAGUUACAUGGACAUAGCAUAAUGUUUUCUCUCAGCCUCUCUGAUCCAGUUACUUUUACGUGCUAUGAGAUUUAGAACCAAACCUGUGAAACAAUUCUUCUAGAAUAGAUUUUGAUUUAGGUUGCUAUAAAGGCAUGCUCCAUCUCACAAAUCCUCUCAUGAAGGUUCAUUAAUGACUACCCAAGGACCAUGGUGUGAACGAGGGCCGAUAAGUCAGUAUUUAUAAAGAUAGCUUCCUCCCUCACGUUAGAAAAUUUUGAAACUCCGAUUAUAUGAUUUUGCUUAACUAUAGGGACAUUGUUUGGGGGAGUCUGACUUUCCAAGAUUAUCUGGAGUGAAAUUGAUGGUGUUAAAUUCCUAAACUUCAUAUGAUAAACCUCUACUUAGAACAUGGUCCAGCAGCACAAACUUUCAGCUAUUGUUUCUUAGUUAGUGAAUAGUUUUUUCAACUGCUGGCAUGAUUAUGCAAUAUAUAUCUGGCAAUUUUGUAGGGCUGUCCCCAUUCAAGCUCGUGUAGCUUUCAUGUCCACGGGGUCUAUAUUUUGGAACUUCUGCUUGUCAUCCACAAUGAACAAGUAGAUUCAUCAUGUCAACAUUCUGAACAUGAGGUUCGUUUUUCAUAUUUAAGAACGAGCUUUGUAAUACUGUCUCUGCUUUUAUUUUUAUCCUUAUUAUUUAAAAUAACUAUGUGAAACAGGUCGACCUUUCCUCCUGUGAAACACACAGUUAGGUAGACCAUGAUUUGCUCAAGAGAAUGGCAGCUGUGAGCAUUGAUUACAAUCUUAGAGCAACUUGAGAUUUUUACCUAUUUAAAAAACGAGCUUGGCUGUAUGAGAUUUUCUGAAAAGAUUUUGGUUUUGUUGUAAUUCGAUUGUAUGAGAAUAGAAAAUAAUUGUUCAUUGACUAAUAACCGAGCAGUAUGCUGGAGGAAGUCGGAAAGUUACUUGUGUGUCUUCCAUCUGCUGAUUUCUUUUCUUAAUUGGGCAAUGCCACUUCUCUCUCAAACCUUUUAAUAGUUGGUCGCGGUACUCGUAAACCUGGGCAGGUGUUGUCCACAGAUUAAUUAUGUUAUGGUUUACGUUGUUUUUUUAUUGUUUUUUUUAUUGGAAUUAUAAAUUUUGAUUCUAAAGUGUUUUGAUGUUCUAUUUU
rnacentral:lncRNA from 1 species